AAGUCCGGCAGUGCGGACACAUCGAAUUGCAAAUUCGAAGACGUCGUUUAUUCGGCCCGGACU
rnacentral:tRNA from 1 species